CCCUGGGUAGUUUAACAAAAAUGCAACGUUGAAGCUGUUGAGAUGGUGUGGUGGCCUCCGGGGA
rnacentral:tRNA from 1 species